rnacentral:rRNA from 1 species
UACGAAGGGGGCUAGCGUUGCUCGGAAUCACUGGGCGUAAAGCGCACGUAGGCGGUUUGCUAAGUCAGGGGUGAAAUCCUGGAGCUCAACUCCAGAACUGCCUUUGAUACUGGCGGACUUGAGUCCGGGAGAGGUGAGUGGAACUGCGAGUGUAGAGGUGAAAUUCGUAGAUAUUCGCAAGAACACCAGUGGCGAAGGCGGCUGUCUGGUCCGGUUCUGACGCUGAGGCGCGAAAGCGUGGGGAGCAAACAGG